CAGCGUUAUCGGAUUACUGGGCGUAAAGGGUGCGCAGGCGGUUUUGUAAGUCAGAUGUGAAAUCCCCGAGCUCAACUUGGGAACUGCGUUUGAAACUGUAAGACUAGAGUGUGUCAGAGGGGGGUAGAAUUCCACGUGUAGCAGUGAAAUGCGUAGAUAUGUGGAGGAAYACCAAUGGCGAAGGCAGCYCCCUGGGAUAACACUGACGCUCAUGCACGAAAGCGUGGGGAGCAAACAGGAUUAGAUACCCUGGUAGUCCACGCCCUAAACGAUGUCUACUAGUUGUUGGUGGAGUAAAAUCCAUGAGUAACGCAGCUAACGCGUGAAGUAGACCGCCUGGG
rnacentral:rRNA from 1 species